rnacentral:rRNA from 2 species
UUAGGAAUCUUGCGCAAUGGGGGAAACCCUGACGCAGCGACGUCGCGUGAAGGAUGAAGGCCCUCGGGUCGUAAACUUCUUUUGAGUGGGAAGAAAUUUGACGGUACCACUCGAAUAAGCCCCGGCUAACUACGUGCCAGCAGCCGCGGUAAUACGUAGGGGGCGAGCGUUGUCCGAAGUUACUGGGCGUAAAGCGCGCGUAGGCGGUUAUUCAAGUCUGGGGUGAAAGGUUCAGCGCUCAACGUGAACAGUGCCUUGGAUACUGGAUGACUUGAGUCUGGGAGGGGGAAGGGGAAUUCCUGGUGUAGCGGUGAAAUGCGUAGAUAUCAGGAGGAACACCGGUGGCGAAGGCGCCUUCCUGGCCUAAGACUGACGCUGAGGUGCGAAAGCGUGGGGAGCAAACGGG